UUGGAAGCAGGGAGCGCAGACAGCCACUCCCAGGUCCCGGUUGAGGGUAGGGGGUCAGGCCCGGCUCACUGAGCUGCCAAACGGGCGGACGCCUCGAGCUUCUCGGUGGCAGCGCUGGGGGCGCGGGCCGGGGACGGCUCUUACCGGAGGCGCCGAGCUGGAGGCGGCGGUCGGCCGGGGUGGCUGCUGUAAUCCACUAGGCGCUGCCCGGCUGCGCGCGCUCUGCGCGGCAGGGACCCGCUCAUGUUAGAGAAGGAGCCGCGUCGGAAGCGCGCGGCUCGGUCACCCGCAGCAGGCCGGCUGCUCCCGGCGGGCGGUGUCGGCGCCGGCGGGGGCCUCGGCGCCCCGGGCUCCUUCCGGGCUCUCCCGCCCGCCGGGCUCCCCACCGGCUCUGGAGGCGGCAGCGGCGCGGCCGCGGCGAGGCGGCGGUGGGGCCAAGUUGGGCGCCGGGCGGGAGCCGAGACCGCCGCGGACCCCGCAAUCCCGCAGCCGGCGACUGGAGCGCACCUCUGCGGAGACAAAGAUGCGCGAGGAUUCAACAAGCACUGGGAAGCAGAGGACAAGCUUGGCGGUGAAAUAACAACAUCUUCUGCACUGAAGAAUAAUUAAUAUUUUUAAUUAUACAAGAAAAUCAAGCAUGUUGUUGGACCCUCCCAAGCUAGAACACUUUACACUGGUCUGUACAUGUGGAACUGAACAGAGAUUGUUCAGUUCUGAAAUAUGCUGAGAAAUAACCUCAAUUGUCAGUUUUCCUCCACCAAAAUAAAGGCAGAGCUUUAUGACCCUCCUUUUCAGUUGGGGGAAGGAGGGCUGGGAAAAGACUCUGUACUUUUGAAAAGGCAGCCAUAUUUGCACUUCUGCUCCUGUACAGAGGCUUGUUUCAAAUAAAUGAGGCCAACCUGGAGAACAGCAGAGGACGUACCAACCGACAUCUGAGACGCG